UACGAAGGGUGCUAGCGUUGUUCGGAAUUACUGGGCGUAAAGCGCGCGUAGGCGGCUUUGCAAGUCAGGGGUGAAAUCCUGGGGCUUAACCCCAGAAUUGCCUUUGAAACUGCAAAGCUAGAGUGUCGGAGGGGAUAGCGGAAUUGCUAAUGUAGAGGUGAAAUUCGUAGAUAUUAGCAGGAACACCGGUGGCGAAGGCGGCUAUCUGGACGACAACUGACGCUGAGGCGCGAAAGCGUGGGGAUCAAACAGG
rnacentral:rRNA from 1 species